GCAGCUCUUGUGGAAUUAGCUGGUUCUCACUACUCCUAAACAAAUGAAUGGCAAGGUCGGGGAGCUAAAGCAGGGCUCCCUCUUAUUUCUAUGAGUUUAACUUGACAUAAAAAAACCAGUAGUCUUCCUUCAAACUUAUUGCACAGGAAUCAACAUACAGAACGAGGAUGAGAGACAAAGCAUUUAUGAAUUAGAAAUACGGGAAGAAUCAGAAACUAUUUCCAUGAUUCAGAAGGCUUUCACGAAAAACGCAAUGAGUGCAGCGCAAAUAAAAAUGUGGCACAAACGCUUCAAAAUGGUUGAGAAUCUGUUGAAAGUGAUCCCUGUUCUGAAAGGCCUGGAACAAGCGGAGCACCCGAGAAUGUUGAACAUGCAUCGUCUGCAGUCAACAAAGACCUGAGAACUGUGUGAGGUCCCAAGGUGCCAGCUAUGAAGGGGACUGAGGUGUCAUUGUCCUAUGUACAAUGUUUCUUGUAUCUUGUAUCUUCUUCAGUAAAUGUCUCUAUUUUUCAUAGUA